rnacentral:lncRNA from 1 species
CAGCACUUUCAAAGUAAAUAUUUUGCUUAAGAAUCUUAUUAAAGAAAGUCUGUGCCUGCUUAAUGAUGCUUUCUCUGACGAGAAGAACGAGCCCUUCCCUGUAUCAUGGCAGUGCAGCAUCACUUUCGAGACCCUGGUGCUUGUUUCAAGGAGGAUAUAGCCACAGUAAAGACUGUCCCCCAGCUGCCCAGCCUGCCUGUGGUGCCUGCCCUGGGACAACAGUGGCCGAAAGGAAUAGGAGGGGCUGAAAUUGAGCAAAGUUGUUCAUGGUUCCUGUUAUCCGAAGAGAGCAGACUCUUGAGUUACAGUAAGGCUUUUUCAUCCUCAAACCUCACAGAACUCCGGUAUCAGAAGAAACACAGAAUACUCCCUGUAUGGCAUCUUUCGGCAUUUCUUACAGACUCUACCAUCUUGCCAUUCUUCCUAACAGAGUGA